rnacentral:rRNA from 1 species
CGGACGGGUGAGUAACGCGUGGGUAACCUGCCCUGUACAGGGGGAUAACAGUCAGAAAUGACUGCUAAUACCGCAUAAGACCACAGCACCGCAUGGUGCAGGGGUAAAAACUCCGGUGGUACAGGAUGGACCCGCGUCUGAUUAGCUGGUUGGUGAGGUAGCGGCUCACCAAGGCGACGAUCAGUAGCCGGCUUGAGAGAGUGAACGGCCACAUUGGGACUGAGACACGGCCCAAACUCCUACGGGAGGCAGCAUG